ensembl:lncRNA
AAACCAGGUCUAAACCAGGACUAAACCAGCACUAAACCAGGACUAAAGCAGGACUAAACCAGGACUAAACCAGGACUAAACCAGGACUAAACCAGGUCUAAACCGGGACUAAACCGGGACUAAACCGGGACUAAACCGGGACUAAACCAGGACUAAACCAGGACUAAACCAGGUCUAAACCAGGUCUAAACCAGGACUAAACCAGGACUAAACCAGGACUAAACCAGGACUAAACUAGGACUAAACCAGGACUAAACCAGGACUAAACCAGGUCUAAACCAGGUCUAAACCAGGACUAAACCAGGUCUAAACCAGGACUAAACCAGGACUAAACCAGGACUAAACCAGGACUAAACCAGGUCUAAACCAGGACUAAACCAGGACUAAACCAGGACUAAACCGGGUCUAAACCGGGACUAAACCAGGACUAAACCAGGACUAAACUAGGACUAAACCAGGACUAAACCAGGUAUAAACCAGGUCUAAACCAGGUCUAAACCAGGACUAAACCAG